CGAGAGCUUACUAUUUGCCAGGCAUUGUGUUAGAUGCUGAGGAUACAGAGAUAAUAGAUAUAUCUUCUAGCCUCAAGGAAUUCACAGUCCACGGAUAAGACAAGAAUGCAAGAGGAACUUUUUCCUUUCAUGGCACCUACAGAGAGGGAUUAAUUGUGGCAGUUAAAGUGCACACCAACGAUUUCAGCGUGACUUACUACAGUGCCAUAAAUGGCCAAGGAGCCAUUGAGAAGUUGACGGAUUCUGUGGUUAAUUUCAAUAUCCACUCCUUUUCUGCUCCAUUGGAUGGUAGGGGCAGGAUCUCCUUUCACUUCACAAUUCAAGACUGCAUUACCACCAAGUGGCUCAAUCCAAUUAGAAGGGUAAUCACCUUUGAAGACUGGAGGUUCUGGGAAAUAACAACAGAUAAUUAAUUAUAAGUAAAAGGAAGCUCUGAUAAUUUAUUUGUGAUUUUGACCUAUUUAGAAAGAUAACUUAGUGAAGAAGGGAAAAGCCACUUUUGAACACCAUGAAUUUUCCAGAAUCAACUGCUCAUGCUAAUCAACCAGAUAAUUUUGUUAGUUUCAAAAAUCUAACCAGAUGAUUCCAUUUUGUACCAAAUGAUCUCUUUGCUUACCUACUUUUGAAUUGAACGUUGAUAAUGUUUUAUUUCUUAGGAAUGUGCACAUCUGUGAAAUAGGACUAGAUGGAUUUAAUGAACUGAAGUUAUAUAAGCAAGCAAAA